rnacentral:rRNA from 1 species
CCUACGGGUGGCAGCAGUGAGGAAUAUUGGUCAAUGGACGCAAGUCUGAACCAGCCAUGCCGCGUGCAGGAUGACGGCCCUACGAGUUGUAAACUGCUUUUGUAAGGGGGUAAACGCAGACACGCGUACCUGUCUGAAAGUACUUUAUGAAUAAGGAUCGGCUAACUCCGUGCCAGCAGCCGCGGUAAUACGGAGGAUUCGAGCGUUAUCCGGAUUUAGUGGGUUUAAAGGGUGCGUAGAUGGUCUGUUAAGUCAGUUGUGAAAUCCUGCGGCUCAACCGCGGAAUUGCAACUGAUACUGGUCGGCUUGAGUAUAGUUGAGGUAGGCGGAAUGCGUGGUGUAGCGGUGAAAUGCUUAGAGAUCAUGCAGAACACCGAUUGCGAAGGCAGCUUACUAAGCUGCUACUGACAUUGAGGCACGAAAGCGUGGGGAGCAAACAGGAUUAGAUACCCUAGUAGUC